rnacentral:rRNA from 1 species
UACUAACUCUUGAUAAACUUUCGAAUAUAUCUUUUUAUUUUGUGGAGACAGACUAUUGGUGCGAAGGUCUAUAGUCAAGAGGGAAACAGCCCAGAUUGAUCGAUAAGGGCUUCAAUUAAGAUUUAAGUUAUAAGAGUGUAGAAAAUUUAAGACAAUCAUAAAGUAGGCUUGGAAGCAGCCAUCUUUUUAAGAAAGCGUAACAGCUAAUUGACCAAAAUUUUUUGCCUCGAAAAUUUAUAGAGACUUAAAAUCUACAUCCGAAUCGGUAAAUAAUGGUAGCAGAACGUUCUGUAAAUUUAUAAAGGUUUAUGGUGACAUAAAUUGAAGAAAUCAGAAGUGACAAUGUUGAUAUGAGUAGCGAUAAACAAUGUGAAAAACAUUGUCGCCUUAAGUCCUAGGAUUCCAAAACAAGGCUAAUCCGUUUUGGUGAAAUUAAUCGGUCCCUAAGAAAAUAACGAAAGUCUAAUUCGAUGGGUAAUAAAUAAAUAUUUUUUAUUUUUUAACAGUGACAAACUAUGAAUAUUAUUUUUAUUUUAUGGUUAUAAUAAAAGUUUUAUAGUAUUUUCAAGAAACAGCUUUAAAAGUUAAAACCGUACCUAAACCGACACAGGUGGACAAAUUUAGUAAAUUAAGGCGCUUGAGAGAAUGAUGUUGAAGGAACUCGGCAAAAUGACUCCGUAACUUCGGAAGAAGGAGUAACUUUAUUAGGGCAACCUUUUAAAGUUGGCACAGAAUCGGGGACAGCGACUAGUUAUUAAAACUACAGGUCUCUGCAAAUUUGUAAAAAGAUGUAUUGAGGCUGACGCCUGCCCAGUGCUGCAAGAUUAAAGGAAGAAGUCUGUUGGCUUUGACCCUAAACCCCAGUAAACGGCGGCUGUAACUCUGACGGUCCUAAGGUAGCGAAAUUCCUUGGCAUUUAAUUGGUGUCCUGCAUGAAUGGCGUAACGACUGUCCCACUGUCUCCAGCACAAGCUCAGUGAAAUUGAAUUCUCCGUGAAGAUGCGGAGUACCUGCGGCUAGACGGAAAGACCCCGUGCACCUUUACUACAGCUUUACACUGGAUUUUGAACAAGCUUGUGCAGGAUAGGUGGGAGGCUUUGAAGCAAUCACGCCAGUGGUUGUGGAGCCACCCUCGAAAUACCACCCUGGCUUGUUUGGGGUUCUAACCUAGACCCGUAAUCCGGGUCAGGGACAGUGUAUGGUGGGUAGUUUGACUGGGGCGGUCUCCUCCCAAAGAGUAACGGAGGAGUGCAAAGGUAACCUCAGCACGGUCGGAAAUCGUGCAAUGAGUGCAAAGGCAUAAGGUUGCUUGACUGCGAGACAGACACGUCGAGCAGGAACGAAAGUUGGUCUUAGUGAUCCGGUGGUUCUGUAUGGAAGGGCCAUCGCUCAACGGAUAAAAGGUACGCCGGGGAUAACAGGCUGAUUCCUCCCAAGAGUCCACAUCGACGGAGGAGUUUGGCACCUCGAUGUCGGCUCAUCACAUCCUGGGGCUGAAGCAGGUCCCAAGGGUAUGGC